rnacentral:tRNA from 1 species
GGCAAGAUGGCCGAGUUGGUUAUGGCGUGAGGUUAAGGUCACCUUAGCAUGAUUUCCUCAUGGAGCAAUCCGCGUGGGUUCAAGUCCCACUCUUGUCA